GGUUGCGAUCAUACCAGCACUAAUGCACCGGAUCCCAUCACAACUCCGCAGUUAAGCGUGCUUGGGCGAGAGUAGUACUAGGAUGGGUGACCCCCUGGGAAGUCCUCGUGUUGCAACCC
rnacentral:rRNA from 1 species